CAGAACAACUAGAAAUGGCAGCUUAACUCCCAUUGCUGCCAGAGCGCGCGGUCCGACAUACCCGGCAGUCAGAGUGAGGGCAUCCGGAGUGCCAAGAAAGGACUCCUCUCAGCUGUGACAGCAGAACUGAGUCUCAGAUUUCCUGCAUCCUGGAUUGAUUACUGCAGAGGCUGUGUGGCCACCUUGGGAGAGGACAGCCAUUCACAGCAGCUACAGGGAUUACAAAGAAUCAACCAAGAAGUCACUGCAGCCUCAGUUACUGAAAAUGCCAUCAGCAUAUACACUAGAACAGCAUGCAUUUAUGUGACAAACUAUUUGAACACAUAACUUUCCAGAAAGAUGCUCCCAGUGCUGGCUGAAGCCUUCAGCUCAUUCUCCUGCCUGCACUGGUACUACCAGCACAAUAGGAGUAAAAUGUGAGUAAAUCAUAAUCACAUUUUUCUGCGCGCAGCCAACGACUCCACCUGCCUUCC